rnacentral:lncRNA from 1 species
CCGCGCUUUCUGGGGACGUCUCGGGAAGUUUGCUUUUUAUGCGUGGGGACGACUCCGCGUCCUUCGGAGACGACUUGCGCGCAUCCCUUGAAAUUGGUCUUUCUGCCGCCUCUGAGAGAGUCGACUCCGCAAAGUCGGGAGUCGACUCCGACCCUGCGAGACGCCUCGCCAGGUGCCGGAGACGUCUCCAGACGUGCCAAUUCUUUCUGUUCGUGCCAGAGACGUCUCUGGGACAAACCGGAGACGUCUCGGCUGUCCCUGAUCUGUUUUCUUCAUCUCAAAAAUUCUUCAAUAAAUCCUUGAAAAAUAUGGGAACUUGCCUAGACAUUUCUUAACAAUAUUCUUAAUUAAACACCUAAAAUCC